GCACUGGUUGUGUGUGGUACACCUGCCGGCUCAUUUGAGAGUUGUUCUUAUCCUGUCCGCGGUGGAUCGGGGUUCGAUUCCCCGCCAGUGCA